CCUACGGGUGGCAGCAGUGGGGAAUAUUGCACAAUGGGGGAAACCCUUAUGCAGCGACGCCGCGUGAGUGAAGAAGGAUUUCGGUACGUAAAGUUCUAUCAGCAGGGAAGAAAAUGACGGUAUCUGACUAAGAAGCCCCAGCUAACUACGGGACAGCAGCCGCGGUAAAACGUAGGGGGCAAGAGUUAUCCGGAGUUACUGGGUGUAAAGGGAGCGUAGACGGCAGGGCAAGUCUGGAGUGAAAUCCCAUGGCUUAACCAUGGAACUGCUUUGGAAACUGUGCAGCUAGAGUGCAGGAGAGGUAAGCGGAAUUCCUAGUGUAGCGGUGAAAUGCGUAGAGAGUAGGAGGAACACCAGUGGCGAAGGCGGCUUACUGGACUGUAACUGACGUUGAGGCUCGAAAGCGUGGGGAGCAAACAGGAUUAGAUACCCGGGUAGUC
rnacentral:rRNA from 1 species